UACGUAGGGGGCAAGCGUUGUCCGGAUUUAUUGGGCGUAAAGAGCGUGUAGGCGGCUUUACAGGUCCGUUGUGAAAACUCGAGGCUCAACCUCGAGACGCCGGUGGAAACCGUAAGGCUAGAGUCCGGAAGAGGAGAGUGGAAUUCCUGGUGUAGCGGUGAAAUGCGCAGAUAUCAGGAGGAACACCCGUGGCGAAAGCGGCUCUCUGGGACGGUACUGACGCUGAGGAGCGAAAGCGUGGGGAGCGAACAGG
rnacentral:rRNA from 1 species